GGUUAAGCGACUAAGCGUACACGGUGGAUGCCUAGGCAGUCAGAGGCGAUGAAGGACGUGCUAAUCUGCGAUAAGCGUCGGUAAGGUGAUAUG
rnacentral:rRNA from 1 species